UACGUAGGUCCCGAGCGUUGUCCGGAUUUAUUGGGCGUAAAGCGAGCGCAGGUGGUUUAUUAAGUCUGGUGUAAAAGGCAGUGGCUCAACCAUUGUAUGCAUUGGAAACUGGUAGACUUGAGUGCAGGAGAGGAGAGUGGAAUUCCAUGUGUAGCGGUGAAAUGCGUAGAUAUAUGGAGGAACACCGGUGGCGAAAGCAGCAUGCCGGCUUCCUACUGACGCUGAAGCACGAAAGCGUGGGGAUCGAACAGG
rnacentral:rRNA from 1 species